rnacentral:lncRNA from 1 species
GAUCAUAUCCCCGUCGAACUCCGGCGAGGAGCAGGUGAUAUCGUCGAACUCUUCACCGUCGCUCGCGCCGGCGGAGCUCGUCGACGAGAACGAGAGGCUGAGGAAAGAGAACGUUCAGUUGACCAAAGAGCUCGCGGAGAUGAGAUCGCUCUGCAACAAUAUAUAUGCUCUCAUGUCAAAUUACGCCAACGCCAACGGUAACACUAACGGGAACGGAAGUUACCAAACGGACGGCGGUGCUGGUGGCGCUCAGGGAAGUAGGGAGUCCGGCAUGACGGCGUUGAAGCCGCUCGAUUUGAUGCCGACGAAACGGAUCUCCGGUGAGGACGCGGCGGAGGUGAUGAAUCCGAAGCUAUUCGGUGUGGCGAUU